AGGAAUCGACGAAGUGGAUGUAGGUCACGACGACCGAACCACUAUAAAAUUGGCGUGUUCUCUGGUUUGCAUUUACUUCCCGCUAUUUACAUAUUACAAACUGAAUCUUUACUUGCCUACUGUAUUCACUUCAUAAACGUACUGUCACGACCUUAGCUGGAAUUGCCUAAGGCGUGAGGCACCCUUGCGGCCAAAGACGUGAACUUAGCUUGCGUUGCCUAAGUCGCGAGUUACCCUUGUGGCAAAGACGCGAACUUAGCUUGCGUUGCCUAAGUCGCGCUUCGCCCUUGCGAUAUUGCUCCGCAAGGAUCAGCCCACUUUGUAACCUCUCGCAGGUCCCGAAGGACCUGUAAAAGAGAAAGUUUGUCAGUUCGAAAGAACGAGCAACGGACAAGUCCCGAAGUCUCGCGAAAAGGGGAAGCUUUACAAGCAAUUCGAUGAACACCUUGUGUGCACAAGAGAAAAGAGGGAGAGGGAGAAAAACAAGGCUUUCAAGGAUGAACGAACAGCUGCAAGCCCACAAACAGCCGCUCACUUAGUCCCGGGCGCGAAGACAAGUUCCCGUAAAGGUCACGUGCGAACUUGCGAAAGAGAGUUCAACGCUCGGUAUAUAACCGAAGCCCCAUCCAGCCCUGUGCCACCCGGGUGGUUCUAGGGGUCUGAGAUGGCCGACAUUUUGGUGAGCGGAGGCAGUUCUCCGCAACCCUCCCGCGGCACGCGAAAACGGAGCUGUUUUGGUGCUGUUUUGCUUGGUUCGGUGAGCGGUCGCUUUGUAACGCUGCAGCUUGUUCGAACUUACAUAUUUACAAGCAAAAUGACCCAAAACCAAGAGAAAACAUGCUGUCAAGCAGCUGUACAUGCAGGUGUGAGCGACGAACGGUUCGUUGAACGGAGUUGUUGCAGGUGCGCGACGACCGUUCGUGACAUUCUCCCCCACUUAAACUGUCGACGCCCUCGUCGACGCUUGUUGGUAGUUGUUGAUGACUUCUUCAUGUCGCAAGGCGUCUUCAGGCUCCCAACUGGCUUCAGUUCGGGGAAGCUCUCGCCACUUCACCAAGUACUCAGUCUGCUCAGCUCCGUUGGGUAGCUUUAUCUUAUGGUCCGCCAGAAUGGUUUACACUCGCUUCUCGUAGGAGGCUGUGAUGGGAGGUAGCCGAGUUGGAACACUUCGGGAAGCAUCUCGCGGAUCCGAGUGGUAGGCUUUUAGAUUGCUGGCGUGAAGAACGUUGUGAAUUUUAAACCACGCCAACAGCUGCAACUUGUAAGAGACGUUGCCUACCCUGCUGAUAAUUGGGAAGGGUCCUUCAUACUUGCGCACCAAUCCUUUGUGGACUCAGUUCCUAAAGAAUUGGAGUGCUGCUGGUUGGAGCUUUACUAACACCAAAUCGCCAACUUUGAACUCUUGCGGUCGCCUUCCCAAGUCUGCCCACUUCUUCAUCCUUUUUGCCGCCUUCUCCAAGUAAGCCCGCGCAAUAUCGGCAUUUCGAUGCCACUCCUUUGCGAAAUGAUAGGCUGAUGGACUACUCCCAGUAUACCCAAUUGCCAUGGUGUGCGGAGUCGACGGUUGUUGUCCUGUGAUAAUCUCGAAGGGGCUCUUGUUGGAUGCAGAGCUCCGCUGCAAGUUGUAGGAGAAUUGGGCAAUCUCCAACAGCUUCACCCAAUCUCGUUGAUUAACACUCACGUAGUGCCGAAGAUAUUGCUCCAAGAGCGAGUUUAUCCUUUCAGUCUGGCCAUCCGUCUGGGGGUGGAGGCUUGUAGAGAAGUAUAACUUCGACCCCAACAAUUUGAACAGCUCGGUCCAGAAUCGUCCCAGGAACCGAGCGUCUCGAUCGCUAAUGAUAGUGUGCGGGACUCCCCAAUACUUCACUACAUUCUUCAUCGUCAGCUUGGUCGCCUCCUCUGCUGAACAGUGUAGGGGAGCAGCAAUGAAAGUUGCAUACUUUGAAAACCGAUCGACCACCACGAGUAUCGAUCCGAGUCCCCCUACAGGUGGCAAGCUUGAUAUGAAGUCCAAGGAAAUGCUCUCCCACGGCCUUUCUGGUACGGGCAACGACUCCAAAAGUCCCACCGGCUUCCGCUGCUCCACCUUGUCUUGUUGGCAAGUAAGGCAUGUUCGAACAUAUUCUUCCACAUCAAUCCCCAUUUUCGGCCAGUAGAAGGCCCUCUCCACGAGAGCCAAUGUUCUGUGAAUGCCUGGGUGUCCAGCCCAAAGGGAAUCGUGACACUCUUUUAAGAGCUCACGCCUUAAAUUGUCCACUCGGGGAACAUAAACCCUAUUCCCUUUUGUGUAAACAAGUCCCUCCUGGACCCAAAAUCGUCAUGCCUUGCCUUCUUUGAUGAGCUGCAUCAGGAUAACUGCUUGGGGAUCACUAUACAGUCCAUCCCUGAUUCAGGAAAGGAAGUUGGAGUGCAACUGACUUGCUUGGCCUUUGCCCUCCAAUUGUACAGCAUUCACGCAUUCCACUUUCCGACUCAGCGCAUCGGCCACGACAUUCGCCUUCCCGGGCUUGUACUCCAUUGCCAUAUCAAAUUCAGCCAAGAAGUCCUGCCAUCGCGCUUGCUUUGGGGAGAGCUUCUUCGAGUUUGGAAAUAGCUCAGGGCGAUGUUGUCCGUCCUCAGCACAAAUCGCGACCCGAGGAGGUAGUGUCGCCAAACUCGUAGACAGUGGAUCACUGCUGUCAUCUCCUUCUCAUGCACUGGAUACCGCCGCUCAGUCUCGUUGAGUUUGCGGCUCUCGUAGGCCACCGGAUGACCCUCUUGCAUGAGUAAACCCCCAAUAGCGAAGUCCGAAGCAUCUGUAUAGACUUCAAAGGGCUCUCCAUAGUUCGGCAAUUUGAGCACCGGUUCUUCCAGAACAGCAGCCUUCAGAUCUUGGAAUGCUAUCUCACAUUUGUCCGACCACUUCCAAGGCUGCUCCUUCAGCAACUCCGUCAGUGGGGUUGCCCGCUUCGAAUAUCCCGCUAUGAAGCGUCGAUAGUAAUUGACGAAACCAAGGAGGAUCUCAACUCUGACACCUUCUUUGGAGUUCGCCAUUCCGCAACUGCUUGCACCUUCGACUUAUCCAUCCUAAUGGAGCCAUCACCGAUUCGAUGCCCCAAGAAUAAGAUCUCAGUUUGAGCAAAGUAGCAUUUCUCCCUUUUCACGAACAAAGUGUUCUCCCUGAGAACCUUGAAAAUCGUCCGAAGGUGCUUGACGUGCUCCUCGAGCGUUUGACUGUAGACGACGAUAUCAUCCAGGUAGACAACCACGAACUUAUCCAAAUACUCCUUGAAUAGCUGGUUCAUGAGAGUACAGAAUGUGGCCGGAGCGUUGGUUAAGCCGAAAGGCAUCACCAAGAACUCAAACGCUCCAUACCUGGUCACACAGGUAGUCUUCGCUUCGUCGCCUUCAGCAAUGCGCACCUGCCAAUACCCCGACCGAAGGUCGAGUUUUGAGAAAUACUUAGCCUUGCCCAAUUGGUCGAACAAGUCCGCGAUGAGCGGGAUGGGAUACUUGUUCUUCACUGUUACUUUGUUGAGGGCUCGGUAGUCGACGCAUAAUCGGAGGCUCUCAUCUUGUUUCUUCUGGAAGAGAACUGGAGCUCCGAAAGGUGCUUUAGAGCUGCGGAUGAGACCACCGCUUAGCAGUUCACCUAACUGCUUCCUGAGUUCUGCCAACUCUGGCGGGGGCAUGCGGUAGGGUGGUCUCGCUAGAGGCUUCACUCCUGGCUCCAGCUCGAUGCUGUGAUCCACGCCUCUACGUGGUGGAAGAGUCUUCGGCAACUCGGGUGGCAUAACAUCUUUGAACUCUUUUAGGACGUUCGCCACCGCAGCAGGUUCUUGAAUGGCCCCCUCGUUGAGUGGCUCUAGCUUCAUAGCAGCCACGAAUGUCAAUUCGCCUUUUCGCACCCCUUUCUUCAGUUGUAAUGUCGAAAUGUGUUGGGGCUCCUUAGUUCCUCUCCGAGAGACGGGAACCACGCAGGGGUCAUCGCCUCCCAUCAUACAUAGGGAGUUCAAGAACGGCAUCGGCACCAAUUUCGCCGCGUGCAUAAACUCCAUUCCAAGAAUCACUUGGAAGUCGUCCAGUGGUACGGCCAUCAUGUUGGUGUUUCCGCUCCAAGUCCCGAUUUUGAUAGGAACUCCCUUCGUCAAUCCGGAGAUUCGCCUGGCCUCCGAGUUCACUGCCUUCAUUCGGCUUGGGCUCUUCUCCAAGAUCAACCCAAGUCGCUGUGCUUCACGAUCGGCUAUAAAGUUGUGGGUAGCGCCCGUGUCCACCAUUGCACGGGUCGUUUGGCCAUUUAGCUUGAUGUCCACAUACAUCAGCUCACUACUUCCUGCUUUUUGUGCCUAUGUCUUCAUGUUCUCUCCCACUUGACCCCGCAUAGCGUUCAACAAACGCAUUGCUCCCAUUCGGGGUCCUUGCAACUCCUCGUCGUCGCUGCUGGAUUCAGAACUGCUUGAACUAAGAGCAACAGCUUUGCCCUUUGUCCGAUCGGGGGGGUGGAUGGAAGUCGUCAAAGCAUUGAGUGCCUGUUUUUGUGGGCACUCCCUUACCAUGUGCGGUCCUUCGCACAAGAAUCAUCCUCCAGGUUUUGAGGCCUUGCCUUUCGGGUUUGGCCCUUUGUGGGAGCUCUUCUUCUUUUGUUCGCCCCCGAGCUCCUUCCCUCGAGAAUGUUUUGGAGGGCGAUUGCCUGAAGAUUGUUUCCUUCUUGCUGGGUCUUCAGAGGAAACAAAGUCGGUGAGCCUUUCUGCAGCAGCUAUUGCCCCGACCACAUCGGUAACAUUCCUUCGAUUUAGCUCCUGUUGAGCCCAUGGUUUCAAACCAUCAAGGAAGCUGAACAACUUGUCCUUCUCGGACAUGUCCUGUAUGUCCAGCAUUAGUGCAGAAAAUUGUUUCACAUAGUCUCAGAUGGUGGUACUUUGGCGGAGUUGUCUCAACUUCCUUCUUGCGACGAACUCUGUGUUCUCCGGUAGGAACUGAGUUCUCAACUCCCGCUUCAAGUCCUCCCAUAUGUCGACUCGACACCGACCUUGUUGGAUCUCCUCCCAACGAGUUCGCCACCAAAGUUUCGCAUCUCCGUUCAGAUACAUUGUUGCUAUAGAAACUUUGGUAUCUUCAGAAUCGGGCCUCGUAGCUCGGAAGUAUUGCUCCAUGUCGAACAGAAAGUUCUCGAGCUCUUUAGCAUCUCUGGCCCUUCCAUAUCUAUGAGGCUCAGGUGCCCUCAAAUUUUGUGGCGGUGUAACGCGGGUGUUGCCUCCUCCCGCAUUUAGUGUUCUUGUGAGCAUGGCCACCUUUGCAGUGAGUUCCGCCACAACAUCCUAUAAGUGUUGCACGGAGUCUUUGGUGUCGUCAGACAGUCGGUCGACUAGGGCCUCGACCUUGUCGAUCCUGGACUCCGCUUCCUCUUGCGAGCUCUCUACCCCAACAAGCCUUUGUUGGCCAUGGUAGAGUUCCUCCAUGCUCGCUUCAAGAACAUCCAGGCGGGUUUCCGCCGUUGUGAGUCUCUCCUUGUGACUCUUUUUCCCAGUUAGCGCACCAGAUUGCGCUUCCUCCGCUCGCGGAGAGUAGCCAACUUCUCGCUCAUCCUGUUCACUGUCGCGCUCCUCUUGAGCGGCUCCAACAGCAUGAGAGCGAGUGUGCACAUGCAGCCCACCUGCGGCUGCUUGGGGCAAGGGUCCGGCUUGCCCCGUCUUGCUCGAUUCGCCACGAUGCUUUGCCAUGGCGAAGUUGCGAAGUUCGUUCGCUGCUCGCUCGAAGUGCUUGCCCGCUCUGAUACCACAAUGUCACGACCUUAGCUGGAAUUGCCUAAGGCGUGAGGCACCCUUGCGGCCAAAGACGCGAACUUAGCUUGCGUUGCCUAAGUCGCGAGUUACCCUUGUGGCAAAGACGCGAACUUAGCUUGCGUUGCCUAAGUCGCGCUUCGCCCUUGCGAUAUUGCUCCGCAAGGAUCAGCCCACUUUGUAACCUCUCGCAGGUCCCGAAGGACCUGUAAAAGAGAAAGUUGGUUAGUUCGAAAGAACGAGCAACGGACAAGUCCCGAAGUCUCGCGAAAAGGGGAAGCUUUACAAGCAAUUCGACGAACACCUUGUGUGCACAAGAGAAAAGAGGGAGAGGGAGAAAAACAAGGCUUUCAAGGAUUAACGAACAGCUGCAAGCCCACAAACAGCCGCUCACCUGGUCCCGGGCGCGAAGACAAGUUCCCGUAAAGGUCACGUGCGAACUUGCGAAAGAGAGUUCAACGC
rnacentral:lncRNA from 1 species